UACGUAGGCAGCAAGCGUUGUUCGGAGUUACUGGGCGUAAAGGGUGCGUAGGCGGCUUUUUAAGUUUGGUGUGAAAUCUCCUGCUUAACCGGGAGGGUGCGCCGAAUACUGAGAAGCUAGAGUACGGGAGAGGAAAGUGGAAUUCCUGGUGUAGCGGUGAAAUGCGUAGAUAUCAGGAGGAACACCUGUGGUGUAGACGGCUUUCUGGACCGUAACUGACGCUGAGGCACGAAAGCGUGGGUAGCAAACAGG
rnacentral:rRNA from 1 species